UACGUAGGUGGCAAGCGUUGUCCGGAAUUAUUGGGCGUAAAGCGCGCGCAGGCGGUCCUUUAAGUCUGAUGUGAAAUCCCACGGCUCAACCGUGGAAGGUCAUUGGAAACUGGGGGACUUGAGUACAGAAGAGGAAAGCGGAAUUCCAAGUGUAGCGGUGAAAUGCGUAGAGAUUUGGAGGAACACCAGUGGCGAAGGCGGCUUCCUGGUCUGUAACUGACGCUGAGGCGCGAAAGCGUGGGGAGCAAACAGG
rnacentral:rRNA from 1 species